GACGAACGCUGGCGGCGUGCCUAAUACAUGCAAGUAGAACGCUGAAGAGAGGAGCUUGCUCUUCUUGGAUGAGUUGCGCACGGGUGAGUAACGCGUAGGUCACCUGCCUUGUAGCGGGGGAAAACUAUUGGAAACGAUAGCUAAUACCGCAUAACAAUAGGUGACACAUGUCAUUUAUUUGAAAGGGGCAAUUGCUCCACUACAAGAUGGACCUGCGUUGUAUUAGCUAGUAGGUGAGGUAACGGCUCACCUAGGCGACGAUACAUAGCCGACCUGAGAGGGUGAGCAGCCACACUGAGACUGAGACACGGCCCAGACUCCUACGGGAGGCAGCAGUAGGGAAUCUUCGGCAAUGGGGGCAACCCUGACCGAGCAACGCCGCGUGAGUGAAGAAGGUUUUCGGGUCGUAAAGCUCGGUUGUAAGUCAAGAACGAGUGUGAGAGUGGAAAGUUCACACUGUGACGGUAGCUUACCAGAAAGGGACGGCUAACUACGUG
rnacentral:rRNA from 1 species